UCAAUUCUUAUCGAUAUAUAACAAAAUCUUUGCAUCACCAUCGCACCACCACACCACCUAUUGAGAAUGCCUUUCAUCCUCGUUCAAUUGCCCCUUCAACAACACGUAUGGAUGUUAGGUUCAAGAUGAUUUAUUGUAAUGAGUUUGCUUUACUCGCAGGCCAUGACUCAACAGACGCUCUCAUUUCUUUCCGGUGAACGCCAUGGUUUGGAGGGCGUGGAUUUAUGGAGGUGAACGAAUUUGGUGUGGAGUGAAUACAUGUUUAGGGAUUAGAAGAUAAUACAUGAUAUUCAAAGUUCAAACAAAACAUUAUCAGAGAUCUUCGUGUCCGGUAGGAUUGCUCCGCCCUUAGUGGUGUCUCUUCCAUCAGGAGAACUGCUUCUAGGGAAGGGGAUGGAGAUGAACCAGUAUGGUUAGUAGGUCAGGAAAGGAAAAAAAAGGCGAUGAAAGAAAAAAGCCACCUGAAUAUGUGAAGAUUAAAACCUACUUCAAAAGUUCGGUUGAGACAUGAUGAAGAUAAUGGUUUCUUGUUGUUCGCGACAACUCGGGCACCAAGAGAAUUCACGAAGAAUGAUCUAUAUUUGUGGCAACCUUUAUUUUCCGGUGAUAUUUUGUAUCGGCAUUAAUAUAAUAUUGUUAACUUUAAAUGUUGUUAUUAUUUAAUGAAAUAUUGUACCGUGUUUU
rnacentral:lncRNA from 1 species